CGUAGGUGGCAAGCGUUGUCCGGAGUUACUGGGUGUAAAGGGCGUGUAGGCGGGAAAAUAAGUCAGAUGUGAAAUUCCAUGGCUCAACUGUGGCGCUGCAUCUGAAACUAUUUUUCUUGAGUGAUGGAGAGGAAAGCGGAAUUCCUAGUGUAGCGGUGAAAUGCGUAGAUAUUAGGAGGAACACCAGUGGCGAAGGCGGCUUUCUGGACAUUAACUGACGCUGAGGCGCGAAAGCGUGGGGAGCAAACAGGAUUAGAUACCCUGGUAGUCCACGCUGUAAACGAUGGAUACUAGGUGUAGGAGGUAUCGACCCCUUCUGUGCCGGAGUUAACACAAUAAGUAUCCCACCUGGGAAGUACGGCCGCAAGGUUG
rnacentral:rRNA from 1 species